GGGUUAUUCAUAUUGUGUUACUCAAGCAGCGAGCAGCAUACAUCUGCCACGGUUAAGGUUUUCUUAUCGAGGAUUAAUACCACAAAACCAUGGUGUGACUGCUGAUCAAAGCCAGCAUCUACGUGGUCAGGAAGAUCCGGGCCUCCAUUGCUGAGGGAGAGCAACUGGAAAAGCCCAUCUUAACACCAUGUAGUGCUAUUGCUGAAAGGAGAGCGGGACUUGGGCCAAGAGGUGAGCCACCAGCAGCCAUCCUGAACACCCAACCCAGUGAGGAUGUUGCUGAAGCUGCAAGCCCACAGAUGUCUGCAGACACAGCUGUGCAGAAAUGUGGGUCCUGACGUUAAGAUCACACUGGACUCUGGGGCUAGCUACGACCAACCCACUGCAAAAACAUAAGCUGUCCUAUUUCUUUUCUUUUUUUUUUCUGUGUCACACUAUUAUAACUCUGAAUACACAGUCAAAGAAAAGAGGGCGACAUCUAAACCCCAUCACCAUCAAGAACAGCACCGAAACAGUCACACGGUUGCAUUGAAUUACAGAACCAACCUUUGUGUGACAGUACAAAGGACAUUUUUCUUGCACAAGCCUCUGUCCGGUGUCUAGGCCACGCUCAGCGGCCGCAGUCCCUGUAUGCUUUCACUCACUGCAGUGUUUGAUGGCCUGCUCACCAACCCCUACCUCUGGGGGCUGAGCAGGCCUGAUGUCUCUGCUGCAGCCACUAUACCAAUAAAUGAUAAAAAAAUUAAAAAAAAAAAACCUUUC